GGAGUGGUUUCUCAUGAAUGGGUUAGCAACAUCUCCUUGAUGCUGUCCUCAGGAUGGUGACGUGGAGUGAAUCAGCUCUUCUUUCAUCUUGGAAGUAAUAUCUUGACAUGCUGCAAACCAAUGAACCAUCAGAAACUUCACCGAGGUUUCAAACACUUGUACUAUGUGCACUACAACUAUGGACAGAGUGACUACUGGCAGAAAUGAACCCAUGUGAGAAUUCUGGGAUCGAAGAGAACAAGGAGCUAAAGGAAGUCAGUUGGAUGAUGUAGGAGGGAGGCUCCUGUUUUUCUGACAUCACUGCCAGAUGAAGCACCAAAUAAUUAGAAAGCUUUCACUCCAUUUGCCUUGGAUAGAUUUAAAGGCUAGGCACAGUCAUUUGUGUUAGUUAAAAUCUCUGAAACCUUAAAAAUAAAUAAAUAAAUAAAUAAAAUCA
rnacentral:lncRNA from 1 species